AUGCGUAGAUAUCGGGAGGAACACCAGUGGCGAAGGCGGCCUCCUGGGCUGUUCCUGACGCUGAAGGCGAAAGUUAGGGUAGCGAACGGGAUUAGAAACCCCGGUUAGUCCUAGCUGUAAACGAUGGAUGCUAGAUGUAGGGGGUAUAGAUUCCCUCUGUGUCGCAGUUAACGCGUUAAGCAUCCCGCCUGGGGAGUACGGUCGCAAGGCUAAAACUCAAACGAAUUGACGGGGGCCCGCACAAGCAGCGGAGCGUGUGGUUUAAUUCGAUGCUACACGAAGAACCUUACCUGGGCUUGACAUGUAUGUGGUAGUGAAGUGAAAGCGGAUCGACCCUUCGGGGAGCAUACACAGGUGCUGCAUGGCUGUCGUCAGCUCGUGCCGUGAGGUGUCGGGUUAAGUCCCGUAACGAGCGCAACCCCUGUCCUUAGUUACAAGUGUCUAGGGAGACUGCCGGCGGUAAGCCGGAGGAAGGUGGGGAUGACGUCAAGUCAGCAUGGCCUUUAUGUCCAGGGCUACACACACGCUACAAUGGCCGGUACAAUGGGUUGCCAAACCGUGAGGUGGAGCCAAUCCCGUAAAGCCGGUCUCAGUUCGAAUUGUAGACUGCAACUCGUCUACAUGAAGUCGGAGUUGCUAGUAAUCGCGGAUCAGCACGCCGCGGUGAUAUGUUCCCGGGCUUGUACACACCGCCGUCACGUCAUG
rnacentral:rRNA from 1 species